GGGUCUCCAUUUGGGAUCACGGGAGGGGUUUGGGGUCUCCAUUUUGGGGUCUCCAUUUUGGGGUCAUAGAAUUGGGGUUUCCAUUUUGGGGUCAUGGAUUUGGGGUCUCCAUUUGGGGUCAUGGAUUUGGGGUCUCCAUUUGGGAUCACAGGAUGGGUUGGGGGUCUCCAUUUGGGGUCAGAGAAUUGGGGUUUCCAUUUGGGGUCAUAAAUUGGGGUCUCCAUUUGGGAUCACGAGAUGGGUUUGGGGUC
ensembl:lncRNA